GAAAACAACUGAUGAAGUCACUUUUUUUUUCGUUUUGAGAUAACUUGGAAUAUAUACUAGAUGUAGUAAAAGCCCCGCAAACAUUAGAUUUAUGGAACAUAUGGUGCAACAAUCAAAAGAGAUGACCGAAGAAAUCUUGAGCACAAUGGCCCUAAAAUGGCUUUUUGCUGUUGAUGUCCAAAGGCUGAGCAAUAUGGAUGAACAAUGUAUCAUGGGGCUCUCCGACUGUCAUGACCAAUGUUCCCAUGGUUGGAAGUGACAUCAGGGGAUGCCGAGAUUGACAGGGAUGGUGAAUUAAAGUUCUCUCUAGAGUCAAGAUAGAGGCUAAAGGAGCAAAAAUCAAAACAUGCAGUAAAGUUUGCCAACAAUAGCAGUGUACUCUUUGCGGUGAUAUGAAAACCCCCAGGCCAACUCCUGCUAUUCACAGAUGGGACUAUCUGCACUCACACAAGCACGUCAAAAGGGGGCCCGCACCAAGAUGAACUAUGCUGGGAACCUGUCACAUGAAAGUGAUUAAAACAAGAAAAUCCACUUAACAUUUAACAAAAUUGCUUCGAUGAGGAAAAAAAAAACGGCCCUGACAGUCAUCAUGGGCAAUGAACAGUCAUUCGAUAUGAAAACGACUUUUUGCACAGUAAAAUAUCUGUAUUUUUUUUUCCAAAAGGAAGUUCCUUCCUUUUAGCAGAGCGGAUUGUUCUUCAGCUUUGUUUAUGUAAAGCUUUGUUUAUGCUUAAAAUUAUAUUUCACUCUGUGAUAGGAGCACAACCAGUUUCGUCCAGGAACAAAUACAACAGCUGGAGUGAGUGUGAAUUUAUUUUUACUCAGCAUCCAUUGUUUUCCAUUAAAACCUCAACACAACACAGUUUCUAAAUUUCAUCCGCUUUAGUGCAAACAGGACUCUCGUAACAAAAGGUAUUUUAAAUUCAAACUACGAGUUUUGCCCUCCGGUGUGGGUCACGUGAUCACCCAACCACAAGAGCUCCUGAGUGAGUUGUGGCAGGACAACUCAUAGCUGAUUC